UUAUAAAAUAUAUAAUUAAACUUCACUAUAACUAUUGAGUUAAUCUAUUUAAUAGAUGAAAUUAUGCUGAAAUAAGUAACAAGAAUUAUUUCUAAUUUUGCAUGUGUAAAUCAGAAUGAAAAAUCACUGAUAAUUAACGAAUAAAAAUAAAAAAAGUACAAGAAAUAUAUAUAAAAUAAAUCGUUAACCCGACACAGGAGCAUAGUUAAGAUUAAAAAUUUAGAAAGGAACUCGGCAAACACGACGUUCGCCUGUUUACCAAAAACAUCGCCUCUUGCACAAUAAGUAUAAGAGGUACUGCCUGCCNA
rnacentral:rRNA from 1 species